rnacentral:lncRNA from 1 species
UUGACGUGGCCGCCUCUGGUUAUGUGCAGAAACUGAAAAUAUGGAUCUUAUAGACGUUGAAACAGUAUGUGCUCUUCUGCUCUUCCAACUUUGGGGAACUAUUUCCUUGGUCACUUCCUCGACCAGGAGUUAAGUUUCUGCUGUAUUACUUAGAACUAGUCUCCUAAUUGAUAAUUGGACGGUUUCAGAGUUCUAUAUGAACCAUAAGGCUUUUAAGAUUUA